ensembl:misc_RNA Gm23224 predicted gene, 23224
GGACGAGAUCUGAUUGCAACAUGUGUCACUCCAUUGUUUGCCAGGGUUGAUUAAGCUGAUCUAUCUGGCUAGGCAGGUGUCCCCCUCCUCCCUCACAACUCCAUGUUCUUCACAACCUUCCCUGAAUGCAGCCUUCAGUCAAGGGUAAGCUAUGCUCACCUGCUAGAACCUCCAAACACGCUAUCAAACAGGUCUUUUGGAUGGGAGUCCUCAGCUUGAGGGUCUUCUGUGGAUGCUGAAGUGACGGGCGUGAGCCGACACAC